AGAGUUUGAUCCUGGCUCAGGACGAACGCUGGCGGCGUGCCUAAUACAUGCAAGUCGUACGCUUCUUUUUCCACCGGAGCUUGCUCCACCGGAAAAAGAAGAGUGGCGAACGGGUGAGUAACACGUGGGUAACCUGCCCAUCAGAAGGGGAUAACACUUGGAAACAGGUGCUAAUACCGUAUAACAAUCGAAACCGCAUGGUUUUGAUUUGAAAGGCGCUUUCGGGUGUCGCUGAUGGAUGGACCCGCGGUGCAUUAGCUAGUUGGUGAGGUAACGGCUCACCAAGGCCACGAUGCAUAGCCGACCUGAGAGGGUGAUCGGCCACAUUGGGACUGAGACACGGCCCAAACUCCUACGGGAGGCAGCAGUAGGGAAUCUUCGGCAAUGGACGAAAGUCUGACCGAGCAACGCCGCGUGAGUGAAGAAGGUUUUCGGAUCGUAAAACUCUGUUGUUAGAGAAGAACAAGGAUGAGAGUAACUGUUCAUCCCUUGACGGUAUCUAACCAGAAAGCCACGGCUAACUACGUGCCAGCAGCCGCGGUAAUACGUAGGUGGCAAGCGUUGUCCGGAUUUAUUGGGCGUAAAGCGAGCGCAGGCGGUUUCUUAAGUCUGAUGUGAAAGCCCCCGGCUCAACCGGGGAGGGUCAUUGGAAACUGGGAGACUUGAGUGCAGAAGAGGAGAGUGGAAUUCCAUGUGUAGCGGUGAAAUGCGUAGAUAUAUGGAGGAACACCAGUGGCGAAGGCGGCUCUCUGGUCUGUAACUGACGCUGAGGCUCGAAAGCGUGGGGAGCAAACAGGAUUAGAUACCCUGGUAGUCCACGCCGUAAACGAUGAGUGCUAAGUGUUGGAGGGUUUCCGCCCUUCAGUGCUGCAGCUAACGCAUUAAGCACUCCGCCUGGGGAGUACGACCGCAAGGUUGAAACUCAAAGGAAUUGACGGGGGCCCGCACAAGCGGUGGAGCAUGUGGUUUAAUUCGAAGCAACGCGAAGAACCUUACCAGGUCUUGACAUCCUUUGACCACUCU
rnacentral:rRNA from 1 species